rnacentral:lncRNA from 1 species
AAGCUCUCUGCCAUUUCCAAAGGAGAUAAAUCUACCUAGAGCCCUGGGAAGCAGAAUUGCUCUUCUUUUUUGAAGGCACUGAAGGGCCAGUAGUGAACUGGCAGUGAUCAUGACAGAGCCCCUCAUCACUCCAGCCCUCAGCACAUGGGCCCAGGUGUCAUGGAUGAUAUGCUCUGCUGAGGAAGAUCACAGUGAUCUUGAUAUGAUGGUGCAGGUUCUCAUCUUGCUUGGUAUAUAGUAGAGCUUUUCAUCAUCAGGAGAUGGAUGGCAAAUGGAGUAAGACAAAUACCUUCCAUGGAAAAUAUUUGCAGAAUUAAACGGAUGAAUAUCAGGUACCUUUGAUUAGGCACAGAGAAAAAGUAGUAAAGGGGGAAAUCGAGAGAUUUAUUUCUUAUAUCUUGUCUCUGUUCCCCAGAAAAAAUGAAUUAAAAAAUUAGUAUAAUUCAGAUCAAAAAGCUCAUUCUUAGUACUGGUGGAUAAACUGUGCUGUGUAGUGUGAUUUAAAUGAGGAGAACUUCAGAGAAGAACUAGAAUCUUGGAAGAAUGUUUGGAAUUUAUUUUUAUAAAAGGUGGACAUUCACAAAUUUUAUUCAAAAUUUUUGUGGUGUAUGUUCACCUGUUAGGCAAUACCAUCUGACUACCAAGCUGCAUCAGUAUUUAAUUUGAAACUGUCAUUAUAACACUAGAAAAAGAAGUUUGUAAAGCCAAAGAAGAGACUUCGAUAAGUAGGCUGCCUUUCUGUGUGUGCUUUUCUUGUCUGAGCUUCUUGAAAUAUAUUUAUUUUCAUGCCUAUCACAUUGUUAAUGAGUUUUCUUCUAUAAACUGACCCUGACUGCUACUCUAAAAUAUAUUUUAAAUGAAGUGUGUCUAUACACAUUGAAUCAUACAGAGAUCUUGCUUGUUGGUACUUCAAAACUAAAUAAUUUUUUUGAAAGAUGACCGUUCAUGAACAGGCUUAGGGUCCAAGCUGUCCCAACAAAGCUCCCUCUAGAUCUUUUUCUUAUUUACCCAUCUCCAAAAUGGAUUUAAAAUACCACUUAACCCAGUAGCAUUUCACACCAUCUUUUCUUAAAUAUAGAUGAGUGUUCAAGGUACAAGACAAGAAAACAGUACCCAUUAUGUUCCUUAUGAAAUAGAAGCCUUAGAUGGUAGCAGAAAUUAGUUAAUUUUGGGUGUGACCAGCAAGUUAAACUCUUAGUGGGAAAAGAUUAUAGCAAAACAGGUUUUGUGUAUAAUUA